UACGGAGGGGGCUAGCGUUGUUCGGAAUUACUGGGCGUAAAGCGCACGUAGGCGGUUUUGUAAGUUAGAGGUGAAAGCCCGGAGCUCAACUCCGGAAUUGCCUUUAAGACUGCAUCGCUAGAACGUCGAAGAGGUGAGUGGAAUUCCGAGUGUAGAGGUGAAAUUCGUAGAUAUUCGGAAGAACACCAGUGGCGAAGGCGACUCACUGGACGACUGUUGACGCUGAGGUGCGAAAGCGUGGGGAGCAAACAGG
rnacentral:rRNA from 1 species